GCCCUUGUCGUCUAGAGGCCAAGGACGAAGCCCUUUCGCGGCUUAAACCCGGGUUCAAAUCCCGGCGGGGGCA
rnacentral:tRNA from 1 species